AGUGACACACCCUGACCAGUUUGGGAAGGUGGAAUGAGGCCAAAGCCAUAUGCUUUUUGGCUAUUUUAUGCCGGCAAGCAGGUCGUGGAGACACGACAUUUUUUCUGCUUCAGUAUUCUUUUGUCCCAUCUCCAGCUUCUGGGUGUUGAGAGGCGAUGGCAGCACUGGUGGCUUUCUCUCUGUCUCCUGGAUCUAGCCACCACAGGAUGUCCUGAAGUCAAGAGACCAGCGAAGCCCCCUGACUCCCCAACCAGAAGUACCAGCAGCCCUGCAAGAGCAGAUCUACAGCAUUAGAGCACCAUUCCUGGGGCCCAGCAGAGAGAUGGUGUGCCCAGCCUUAAUGGAUACAUUGAGCCUGGGGAAGAUAAAUAUGGUUAUGAAAGCCAGAGGAACGCUGGCUCCCUGUCCAUACCGUGGAAACCAUCAUGAUUAGCGUCAUGUCCAUGCUGGCAGACCCUCAUGGAGAUUCACCUGCUAAUGUCGAUGCUACGAAAGAACGGAGGGAAGACAGAAAUGGACAGUUUACAAGAAAAGUUGCCCACUGCGUAAGAAAAAGCCAGGAGACUGCUUUUGAGUGAUAUUUAUUUAGCAGCUAGAAACUUCACUUAUUUCGGGGUCUCCAAUUGAGAAACAUAGCACUGGGGCGCCUGUGGCUCAAGCAGCUAAGGCGCCAGCCACAUACACCUGAGCUGGCGGGUUCAAAUCCAGCCCUGGGCCUGCCAAACAACAAUGAUGGCUGCAACCAAAAAAAAAGAAAGAAAGAAAGUUGGCACUGUUUUUUGUUUGUUUAUUUGUUUGCUUUUUGCAGUUUUUGGCCGGGGCUAGGUUUGAACCCGCCACCUCCGACAUAUGGGGCCAGCACCCUACUCCUUUGAGCCACAGGCACUGCCCGUGGCACUGUUUUUCCUGCACUCUGCCCACCUAUUGCUGGACUUUUGUUGUAACAAGUUGGCAGACACUUGGGAGGGGGGAGGUAGGUGGAGGGAGGGGGAUUAAUGGGAUUACACCUGUGGUGCAUUUUACAAGGGUAUAUGUGAAUCUUAGUAAACGUGGAAUGUAAAGGUCUUAGCAAAAUAACUAAGAAAAUGCUAGGAAGGCUUUGUUAACUAGUGUGAUGAAAAUGUGUCAAACAGUCUAUGAACCAAGUGUAUGGUGCCCCAUGAUCAUACUAAUGUACACAGCUAUGAUUUAAUAAAAAAAAAAAGAAACAUAAAAAAAAAGUUGGCAGACACUGGCUGGAACUGGGCUGCAAUAAAACAUGCCAUGCGGACAAGAGCCUAACAGGUGCCAACUUACAGAUGAUUACACAUCUUGAAUUCUAAUGAACUGUUUUAACCUUCAGGAAGAGUUAUAUAGACCUGUGCACAGCACAUGAUCCGGAUAAUAUGUAUACCGUUCAUGUACAUCCACAAAUAUGCCUUGUACCAAAUAGUGGUUUCCUGUAGUAGAUUAAGAAUCAUGUAAAUUCUAAAAGAUUUUAGCAGGUUUUCUUUCUUAUUCAUUGUUUCUUAUCAGUUUUAAAAGACUCCUUAAAGCAUGUGAGACGAAAAGCAAUUAGGAUUAAAAGUUUCCAUUUAAUUUCCUUAAACCAUUGAGGCUUCAUUAAACUCUUUUCACUUACUAA